rnacentral:rRNA from 1 species
CCUACGGGUGGCAGCAGUGAGGAAUAUUGGUCAAUGGGCGGAAGCCUGAACCAGCCAAGUAGCGUGCAGGAUGACGGCCCUACGGGUUGUAAACUGCUUUUAUACGGGAAUAACGCGCCUUACGUGUAGGGCUUUGCAUGUACCGUAUGAAUAAGGACCGGCUAAUUCCGUGCCAGCAGCCGCGGUAAUACGGAAGGUCCGGGCGUUAUCCGGAUUUAUUGGGUGUAAAGGGAGCGUAGGCCGCAUGUCAAGCGUGCUGUGAAAUGUCCGGGCUCAACCCGGGCCUUGCAGGGGGAACUGGAGUGCUUGAGUCCGCGGAAGGCAGGCGGAAUUCGUGGUGUAGCGGUGAAAUGCUUAGAUAUGACGAAGAACCCCGAUUGCGAAGGCAGGUUGCUGCAGCGGAACUGACGCUGAGGCUCGAAAGUGCGGGUAUCGAACAGGAUUAGAUACCCCAGUAGUC